rnacentral:rRNA from 1 species
AUUGAACGCUGGCGGCGUGCUUAACACAUGCAAGUCGAUCGGUAACGCGGGGGCAACCCUGGCGACGAGAGGCGGACGGGUGAGGAACGCUUGGGAAUCUGCCUAUCAGCGGGGGACAACACGGGGAAACUCGUGCUAAUACUGCAUACGCCCUACGGCGGAAAGCCGGGGACCGCAAGGCCUGGCACUGAUAGAUGAGCCCAAGCCGGAUUAGCUAGUUGGCGGGGUAACGGCCCACCAAGGCGACGAUCCGUAGCUGGUCUGAGAGGACGAUCAGCCACACUGGAACUGAGACACGGUCCAGACUCCUACGGGAGGCAGCAGUGGGGAAUAUUGGACAAUGGGGGAAACCCUGAUCCAGCGACGCCGCGUGGGUGAAGAAGGCCUGCGGGUUGUAAAGCCCUUUCGGUAGGGACGAAAGCUCUCGACCUAACACGUCGGGAGGUUGACUUAACCUACAGAAGAAGCACCGGCUAACUCGGUGCCAGCCGCCGCGGUAACAC